rnacentral:rRNA from 1 species
UGGGGAAUUUUGGACAAUGGGCGAAAGCCUGAUCCAGCCAUGCCGCGUGAGUGAAGAAGGCCUUCGGGUUGUAAAGCUCUUUCAGACGGAAAGAAAUCUCUUGGGCGAAUACCCUGGGAGGAUGACGGUACCGUAAGAAGAAGCACCGGCUAACUACGUGCCAGCAGCCGCGGUAAUACGUAGGGUGCAAGCGUUAAUCGGAAUUACUGAGCGUAAAGCGUGCGCAGGCGGUCUUGUAAGACAGUCGUGAAAUCCCCGGGCUUAACCUGGGAACUGCGCUUGUGACUGGACGGCUAGAGUAUGGCAGAGGGGGGUGGAAUUCCACGUGUAGCAGUGAAAUGCGUAGAGAUGCGGAGGAACACCGAUGGCGAAGGCAAUCCCCUGGGCCUGGACUGACGCUCAUGCACGAAAGCGUGGGGAGCAAACA